GCCGGUGCCGAUGACGCAGAGGUCCCACCUGUUCCCAUUCCGAACACAGAAGUUAAGCUCUGUUGUGCCGAA
rnacentral:rRNA from 1 species